rnacentral:rRNA from 1 species
AUUGAACGCUGGCGGCAGGCCUAAUACAUGCAAGUCGAACGGCAGCACAGAAGAGCUUGCUCUUUGGGUGGCGAGUGGCGGACGGUUGGGUAAUGUCUGGGAAACUGCCCGAUGGAGGGGGAUAACUACUGGAAACGGUAGCUAAUACCGCAUAACGUCGCAAGACCAAAGUGGGGGACCUUCGGGCCUCACACCAUCGGAUGUGCCCAGAUGGGAUUAGCUAGUAGGUGGGGUAAUGGCUCACCUAGGCGACGAUCCCUAGCUGGUCUGAGAGGAUGACCAGCCACACUGGAACUGAGACACGGUCCAGACUCCUACGGGAGGCAGCAGUGGGGAAUAUUGCACAAUGGGCGCAAGCCUGAUGCAGCCAUGCCGCGUGUAUGAAGAAGGCCUUCGGGUUGUAAAGUACUUUCAGCGGGGAGGAAGGCGGUGAGGUUAAUAACCUCGCCGAUUGACGUUACCCGCAGAAGAAGCACCGGCUAACUCCGUGCCAGCCGCCGCCGUAA